rnacentral:rRNA from 1 species
GACAGAGGGUGCAACCGUUGUUCGGAAUUACUGGGCGUAAAGCGAGUGUAGGCGGUGUGGUAAGUCGGAUGUGAAAGCCCCGGGCUCAACCCGGGAAGUGCACUCGAUACUGCCACGCUAGAGUAUCGGAGAGGUUGGUGGAAUUCUCGGUGUAGAGGUGAAAUUCGUAGAUAUUCGGAAGAACACCAGUGGCGAAGGCGACUCACUGGCCCAUUACUGACGCUGAGGCGCGAAAGCGUGGGGAGCAAACAGG